AGCGAACGCUGGCGGCAGGCCUAACACAUGCAAGUCGAACGAAGUCUUCGGACUUAGUGGCGGACGGGUGAGUAACACGUGGGAACGUGCCUUUAGGUUCGGAAUAACUCAGGGAAACUUGUGCUAAUACCGAAUGUGCCCUUCGGGGGAAAGAUUUAUCGCCUUUAGAGCGGCCCGCGUCUGAUUAGCUAGUCGGUGGGGGAAUGGCCCACCAAGGCUACGAUCAGUAGCUGGUCUGAGAGGAUGACCAGCCACAUUGGGACUGAGACACGGCCCAAACUCCUACGGGAGGCAGCAGUGGGGAAUCUUGCGCAAUGGGCGAAAGCCUGACGCAGCCAUGCCGCGUGGAUGAUGAAGGUCUUAGGAUUGUAAAAUCCUUUCACCGGUGAAGAUAAUGACUGUAGCCGGAGAAGAAGCCCCGGCUAACUUCGUGCCAGCCGCCGCCGUAAAAC
rnacentral:rRNA from 1 species